AUGUUGUUUGAAAGAAGUUCAUGCUCCCCUUGGUAAGGGUGAAAGAGGUCCUAGUGGCCUUAACAACACAUAUACAGCUAAGUUGUUACCACAUACCCUGUGACAUCUGACCAUGUUUUUAG